UGGGGAAUAUUGCACAAUGGGGGAAACCCUGAUGCAGCGACGCCGCGUGAGUGAAGAAGUAUUUCGGUAUGUAAAGCUCUGUCAGCAGGAACGAAAAAAGACGGUACCUGACCAAGAAGCCCCGGCUAACUACGUGCCAGCAGCCGCGGUAAUACGUAGGGGGCAAGCGUUAUCCGGAAUCACUGGGUGUAAAGGGAGCGUAGACGGCGUGGCAAGCCUGAAGUGAAAGCCCGCGGCCCAACCGCGGGACUGCUUUGGGAACUGUCAUGCUUGAGUGCAGGAGAGGUAAGUGGAAUUCCUGGUGUAGCGGUGAAAUGCGUAGAUAUCAGGAGGAACACCAGUGGCGAAGGCGGCUUACUGGACUGUAACUGACGUUGAGGCUCGAAAGCGUGGGGAGCAAACAGG
rnacentral:rRNA from 1 species